UACGUAGGGGGCAAGCGUUGUCCGGAAUCAUUGGGCGUAAAGCGCGUGUAGGCGGUUCGGUAAGUCUGCUGUGAAAGUCCAGGGCUCAACCCUGGGAUGCCGGUGGAUACUGUCGGGCUAGAGUACGGAAGAGGCGAGUGGAAUUCCCGGUGUAGCGGUGAAAUGCGCAGAUAUCAGGAGGAACACCAAUAGCGAAGGCAGCUCGCUGGACGGUACUGACGCUAAGGCGCGAAAGCGUGGGGAGCGAACAGG
rnacentral:rRNA from 1 species